UCAAAUGUUUAUUAAUAUAAAAAAUUAAAAUAUAAGAAGAAGUGGAAUAAAAUAAAACAGUGAUGGGGUUAAAUUUGAUUACAGUAGGUUAUCGUACCUUUUGCAUUAUGGGUUUACAAGGUAUAAUAUUAAUAUUAAUUUCUCGAAACUCUAAUGAGCUAGAAUUUAAUUGUUAAGCACUUAUAUGUAAUUGUUGCAAUAAUUUAUAAAAAUUGAGUUUUAGAAGCUAUAUACUAAUCGCAUUAGAUUAUAGCUAGUUUCCAUUAUUACUAUAAAUUAGUGUAUUAAUAAAAAUUUGAUUAUUAGGGGAUAAGCUCUAAUAAAAACCCUAUUAUAUUUUAUAUUAAAAAAGAUAAGCUUAGAAUCAGUUAUAAUGAGUACUUUAUCGUGUUAUAGUAUUAUAAAUAAGAAUGGGGCAAUGUUAUGGAAUAAUAAAUAACUAUAAAAUUUAUGAUAUUAUGUAUAUAUAAGUAAUUAUACAUAUAAUAUUAACGAAUUCGGCAAAAUGAAUUUUCGACUGUUUAACAAAAACACUUCCUUAUGAUAAAUAAUUUAAGGUAACCCCUGCCCAAUGAUAACUUUAAUGGCCGCAGUAUCCUGACUGUGCAAAGGUAGCAUAAUAAUUUGUUUAUUAAUUGUAAACUAGAAUGAAUGGGAUUACGAAAAAUUAACUGUUUCACUAUUAUAUAUUGAAAUUAAUUUUUAGAGUGAAGAAGCCUAGAUUUUAUUGUAAGACAAGAAGACCCUAUAAAGCUUUAUUAUAAUAUAAAAUAAAUUUAUAUAAAAUUUGAUUGGGGCGAUCAUUGAUUUAUAAAACAUCACUGUUUAUUAUGAUAAAUAAUUCUUUUUUUAGACCCUUUAUUAGAUCGGAAGAUUAAGUUACUUUAGGGGUAACAGGCUAAUUUUAUACAAGAGUUCAUAUUUAAUAUAAUGUUUGGCACCUCGAUGUUGACUUAAGAAACCUACAUGGCGCAAGAGCAAUUGUUAGGGGGUUUGUUCAACCCUUAAAUUUUUUUACAUGAGUUGAGUUCAGACCGGCGUGAGCCAGGUUAGAUUCUAUCUACAAUAAAUUAAUAUUUAUGGUUGUUGUACGAAAGGACCUAAUCAUUUCUAUUAUAGAAUUAAUGUUGUUAAUUUUU
rnacentral:rRNA from 1 species